rnacentral:lncRNA from 10 species
GUGUGUCCUCCUGCCAUAGGCUGCCCCCCCACUGCCUUAACCCCUUCCCUCCCAGCGCCAGCCACGGGCACCUCCUCUAAGGCUUGGCCACUCCUCUAGGCCUCCCACCCUCUCCCAGGGGCCUCUUUUCUCCAACCUGCCUAGUCUCACCCCUGUCUCCAGAGGUACAAAAAGCGGGGGCUGUCCUUGGGUCCCCUCCCCACAGCAGAUGCUGCCCCCAGGACUAGCCCAUUCCUCUGUGGCCUCAGACCCUGCCCACAGCGGAGCUGCAGGCCAGAGAGAUCCCUGAGGUCAGCGAGGGGUCAGCUGGGCAGGAGUUGGGCUGUGCCGCCCCGCAGUGCCCAGCCUGUGCUGGGAUCCCCUGAGGGAAAGGGGAGGGAGAAGGCCCCGCCAGGCCUGUGAAGGGCAGGCGGGUCCCAGCAAGGUGUCGCUAGUGUGAAGUUACCCACCGCUACCCAGAGACCCCAGCUGGCCCGGAGCAUCAGCCUUGCCCCUCGAUUGAGGCCUGCAGAGGGAACGAUCGCGCUCCACUCUCCGGACCGAGCUGCUCCCGGACCCACCUCACAGCACAGCCCUCAGUGGAGUCCAAGUCCCACCCCAAGGGCAGGUAGCCCAAGGGCGGUUAGAGGAGGACACCAGUGUUUCAAAUAAAGAAGAAACCCCACUCCUGACAUGGGGGAAGGAAGAGGGGACAAAAAACAAAGCACUCUUCACGUCAGCCAGCUCUUCAAACUCUGCCCAAGAGGAUAAGGGCAGCAGCGGCCUGGAUGAGGGGAGGAGCUGGGCGUGCCCGGGUGCUCUGAGGAGCCUGUCCCUGUUCCCGCCAGAGGGGACGCAGCCGGGCUGGCCUCAGGUCUGCGCUUCCGGCUGUUAACUACUCUUCUUAGUUCAGAUCUGGAACUCAGCAUCAGGGGAGUGUGAUCAGGGCCCCCCUGAGGGUGGCCCCAGCUGCAACUCCAGGGUAAGGAGUGUGGGCUCUGGGGUCAGACAGCCUGGGUUCGAAUCCCAGCCUCACUGUUCCAUAGCCCUGUGACCUUGGGCAAGUGACCAAGUUACUUAGUUUUUCUGUCCCUCAGUUUCCGCCACGGUAAAAUGAGAAUGACAGAAGUGCCUAGACUGAACUAACGUGUGUAGUCUUUUAGUGCCUGGGCACAUGGCAAGCGUGUGAUGAGUCACUGUGCCCGUCUUAUCGUCAGCCGUCAUCUCGGUGCUUUUCACAACCACCCUGUUAUGAUCGCCCUCCAUUUUAAAGAAGGAGACUGGGGAGCUUCACCCACGGUCACCCUCCCACGUGCGAGGCGGAGUCCCGACCCACGUCCGUCUGACGGAAGGCGGAGCUUUCACGCGAGGCACGCACGGAGGCACACACAGUUACCCAUCCUGCCCUGCCCUCUGGCCGCCCACUCACUGGGCAAGCAAAGGGCUCAGAGGCGACACACAGUGAUCCCAGGGCUUUAUUUACAAGAGGAGAAGG